CCGAGGGCAGCGGGACAGCGAAGCUGCAAGAGGAUUCCCCCCCUGGCAUGCUGCAAAUUCCAAGGAAGGCAGCACAAUCGAAGACGCAGCUGCUGCCAUGGUGAAGGAGCAGCACGCC